AUGGAUAGCAUGACCAAGAAAGAGAUUACAUAUUUGAAAAAAAAAAAAAAAAGGAAAGCAAGCAAAGCUGAGCGAUGGAGAGAGAGAAACCAGUUCUGGCACAACCAGCACGUCUUCUUAACUUCUCCAGUAUAUAAAGAAGCAGUAAGUGCACACUCCCCCUGCUCUGCCUUAAGCUUUCUCAAGCCAGUUCAAGUUGCAUCUUCGGUCACUUGCCACCAACAGAGCUUUGACAUAGUCAUGCUAGGCAUUUUUAUUUUAUCCCGUAGGUGGAUAAAAUCCAUUGAUGAAAGGAUUCCUUCCCAUGGGCUGGUCACAUGAACCCAUCUGUGUGUGUGUGUGUGUGUGUGUGUGUGUGUUUAAAGUUUUUAUUUAUUUAUUUGACAGAGAGAGACAGCCAGCGAGAGAGGGAACACAGCAGGGGAGUGGGAGAGGAAGAAGCAGGCUCUUAGCGGAGGAUCCUGAUGUGGGGCUUGAUCCUGGAACGCUGGCAUCACGCCCUGAGCCGAAGGCAGACACUUAACGACUGUGCCACCCAGGGGCCCCCCAUCUGUGUUUUGUCAAGCUUACUCUGGUAUCUGGUGGGGAGACAAAUACUCUGAAGACCGGGGGACAUAGAUUCAAUCUGUGUCGUGUCAUUUAUUAGCCCUGUGAUCUCAGGAAGGGUAUCAGUCAGGGUUCUACGAAGGAAACAGUACCUGUAGGAGAAGAUAUGUGCAUAUAUGGGGGGGAGGUCAGGGAGAACAGGAGAAGGGAAGGGAAGGAGAGAUUGAUUUAUUGCAAAGAAUUGCCUUUUAUUAUUGUGGGUGCUGGCAAGUCUGGAAUCCAUAGGGCAGGCCAGAAGGCUGUAAAUUCUCAAGUAGGAACCGAAGCAGCAGGCCAGAGGUGGGUUUCUCCCUCCUCCAGGAAACCUCAGUUUUGCUCUUAAGGCCUUUUUAGUAAUUGGAUGAGGCCUAUCCAGAUUUUGAAGAUAGUCUCCAUUAUCUAAAAGUCAACUGAUUGUAGGUAUUAACCACAUCUACAAAAUAACUUGACAGCAACACUUAGAUUUGAUUUCAUGUUUUAUUAAAUAACUGGGUACUGUAGUAUAGCCAAAUCGGCAUAUAGAACUGACCAUUACAGGAGUUUUACUUAAUUUCUGUGUUUUCUCAGUUAUAGAUUGAGAUGUUGAUCCUUACUUACCUUAUACAUGAAAAUAUACGUAAAGCAGAACAUAGUGCUUGACUCAGGAGCAGCUCGGUUUUGUUUUGGUUUUGUUUUUGUUUUUUAAUUUGUAAGGCUUUAUUCUGAAUCAGGCUAUGCAGACCUUCUGCUCUACCAAUCCCGCUUCUAGGUAUAUUCCCUAAAAACCCUCACAUACAUGAACGAGGACAUGUGUGCAAGGACGUUCAUAGCAGGGGAUGCCUGGAUGGCUCAGUAGGUUAAGUGUCUGCCUCUGUGUCCCCGAGUUGGGCUCCCUGCUCAGCAGGGAGUCUGCUUCUGCCUCUGCCCCUCCCCCCAACUCAUGCUGUCUCUC
rnacentral:lncRNA from 1 species